GCAUCUUUAGAGUGGCGUCAUUAGCAGAAAAGUGGCAAAGAUAUUUGUUUGUAAAAUUAUUAAAAGAAAAGAACUAAGGAAAUGUACAAGAAAAUUAAACUCUUCGAGAAGACAUCUGAAUAUGUUCAACCUCAGUUCGCUUACAAAGUUUCAAACCUGGGUUCAUAUGAGUUUUGCCAAGAGUCUAUUGGAGCGCCAGUAGCCGAACUAUUUCCACUCAAAUCGGAAGAUGAUCUGAAAUCAGUUGAGGAAAAAAUCAUUCCAGAAAACCGUGAAACUUAUGUUUCUACAAUGAAGAGCAUUUUUCAGCAUAACGCUUGUAAGAAUUUGAAAAACAUUUUACAAGACGGAAUUAUACUUAACUGCAAUAUUGACAUGGGUCCCAUGGGAAAAAACGUUUGAAGGAUUUUACUACUUUUUAUGGAGCACUUUUGGAUGCCAUUUCAUGCCUGCCGAAUGUAACAAAUCCGGAGGAGGAGCUGCGUAAGGAAAUUAAAUUGCAAAAGAGACGACAUUUUGGUGUCCUCAUCAAAAUCGCAUUCUAUUGAACUAGAAUUCAAUGCGCUAUAAAACCGCAUACUCAAAAUCUUUCUAA